UCCUGUGUACAACCUGUCUAGCUGACCGUAACGGGGUCAAAGGUUACUAAUGGAAAUGUAUACAAAGGCACAUGGCGAACACAUGAUCACAUCAUGUACUGUACAUUUUGGAGCGUGCAUGUACACAUCAAAACAACCAGAGUUUAUGCUCAUUAGUACGAAAACUGUCUCCGGGUCGGCAGCAUAUAUUCAUGAUUGCUUUACUUACGUCAUAAUACACAUAUCUCCUAAAGAAAAUGGAGUCCUCAGCAGCUAGACGAUUUGAGAAGGUUGAGCCCAAGGUGGGUUUCGAACUGAAGACCAUUGUUCUGACGUCAGCGUGCUUCAUCUAUGCCAUUGUCAUAUUCUUGACAGCGGCAUGCAUAAGCAAGGCAGUAGCAUCGACCAUGUCAUCAGCUUCCUUGACAUUGAAGCGCUAUCAGUUCUGGAGUAUUGACCACCAGACCACACUGGACAUGAAGCCGACAAGAGCACGCUCGACAAAGCACAUUUACCAGGGCUGAUACAUCACUGACCCAAACAACAAGGGAAUCUCAAAACUACUUACAUCGUCAAACAGUUGACCUAAUUAUUUGGAUAAUUUGGGCGAUGAUGAUGCAAUAUGCCAUUCUAAAAUGAUGUGCAUAAUGAAUUGACCGAUUUUCCUAUUGCAAUCCGCGCCGUAGCGAUUGCGCUGCCUCAAUAAAUUGCAACGUGGCCCAGAUACUGCGGAACUGUAUACGGACUAUCAAUAGAAAGAAUGUAAUGGAUUGUAAUCGGACGACAACGGGGGUUGUAACUUUUCGUUUUCAAUGUAAUGUUACAAACAAAGACUUUCCGAAAGAAUUUGGACCAUGCACGGCCAUGCACGUGCGAAAGUCUACUACGAAAUACGUUCGACCCCGAACAGCAGUGCGGACGAACACAUUAUUGACAGCCAUUGGAUGUGAGAUGUUCUGUUUUAAUCAAAUGUCAAUUAAACUAAGAAUGAAUUGUGGAUGUGAUGAGUGUCAGGUGUACGCCAUUGAAUAUAAGUGAUCAUGAAUGUAAGUUGGGAAAUUUAUAUUGAUAUGAGAUACUUAACAUUUUAAAGAAUAUCUUGAGAGACUGUAUAUGUUUUGAUCUCUCUUGAUAAACAAACAAAAUUUGUUAUAUUAAAAUGUUAGUUUUUUUGUCGUGAAUUUGAAAGUGUGUACAGACUACAACAAUAGAAAAAUAUUUAUUUUCAAAAUCGUUUCUGUUCAACAAGACGUCAUUGUCUAACUUUCUGGCGUUUUCAUAUAGAGAGAUAUUGAGAGAGAUUUAGUUUGAAAUGUUCAUUGUCUUUCAUUAAUACAUGCAUGUAUAUAUGUAGAUAAUCAGAAAUCACAUACCAAUGUCAAUGUUGAUUGAAGAAUGAAAAGAAAUCACAAGUAUAUCAACUAGAGUUAAUUUGUGUUUGGGUGUGCAGAAUGAGUGUGACGAAUGUUUAUUUUUUUGUAUUAUUGUUAUAAUCUGUUGCUUUUCACAGAGAAAUGUUGUUAAUAAAUUACAAAACACUA